UCUUUGUGUAAGUUGUUGCAUCUUUUUUGUGUUCUUUUCUUCUUGUUCUUUCUUUUUGUCCUC
rnacentral:ribozyme from 13 species